UAAUAGGUGUUUUAUGGCACUUUUUAAAUCCAUAUCCACCUUGUGUGCAAUGUCAGUCGAUCUUCUUACAUGGAGAUCGACCAAACAUCAACCUUAAUCUUUUAACUCUUUGUCUGAAAAAUAUUAUGAAUAAACAAUUCAAAAUA
rnacentral:misc_RNA from 1 species